GGUGUGCAUCAAGAUGGAAUCUAUCAAUCUUAAAAAAAGGGAGUAGUCCUAUAAAAUUUAAGAGACUGAGUUCUUAAGUCUAUAGCUAUAGCAGUGUGAUUGAUGGAAAAAAAUUAUCAAAGAAUCACAUAUGGACUCAAGCUGAUUGAAUCUAUCAUAUGAUGGAUGAUGAGGUUUGAUGAUUCAUCCAUGACCUGCCAUC
rnacentral:lncRNA from 1 species